UACGGGGGGGGCAAGCGUUGUUCGGAAUUACUGGGCGUAAAGGGCUCGUAGGCGGCCAACUAAGUCAGACGUGAAAUCCCUCGGCUUAACCGGGGAACUGCGUCUGAUACUGGAUGGCUUGAGGUUGGGAGAGGGAUGCGGAAUUCCAGGUGUAGCGGUGAAAUGCGUAGAUAUCGGGAGGAACACCAGUGGCGAAGGCGGCUUCCUGGCCUGUUCUUGACGCUGAGGCGCGAAAGCUAGGGGAGCAAACGGG
rnacentral:rRNA from 1 species